UUUUCUUGUGUUCCUCUCGAGUGCAUUUCCACGCACGUCCACGAGAUGUCCCCUCAGGCUCCAAUCUGGGUUACCGCGGACUCUUAAGAGCGCCCGAACCGACGUGGAGUAGGUAGGGCCUAUCGUAGAGCAGGGCGUGAUGGCGUCAUGAGUUGCCGGGCGGUUUCUUGCCCCCACUCGCUCAGUCUGCCCCCAGUUUAGGAUAGCAAUCGAGAUUCUCGAGGCUCAUACUCAACCGCCGUCCAGUGCAUCCAGCGCGUGGGCAGAAGCUACGAAAGAGAUAUGUGAGCCCCGAACUGGAGAGUAGGAGGAACUCAAUGGGAUUCAGACUUCUUGUCAGAUUUUAGCUAAUGCCGAAAGGAGCAUGCCUUGACCAAUUCCUCCCUAACUGUCUCUGUGCUGCCUUGGGCUGUGGGAUGGAUAACAGAACUUUUGAAUCAUCACUGGAAUAAACUCGUUAGAGCCUCUUCUUCAUAACGCCGUAUCUGCAACUCAGACACAUGAAGGAAGUGGCCAGACCUGCUCCGUCACCUGCCUGUGCAUCUCUGUCCCACCUGAGAGCUUCCACAGGCCCCGGUGCCUUCUUCCUCUUCGCCAUCUGUCUUGUGCUCAUCUCCUCCGAGAAGCCUUCCAUGACUAAUCCUACUCUCAGCUCCAACUCAUCCCUUGAAAAUUUAUACAAACUAGAUUUAGCACCUUCUCGCAAUGCAGUAAAAGAGGACAGGAGAGCAGCGUGUCACAGAGACUUGCACAAAGGAGACUAAGGUCAUAUGCUGUGGAGACCCUUCUGAGAAGGAAAACCUCGCUGGAUUUUGUAAGAGACUAUAUGAAUGACCAGAGCUGGACACACAAUUUCAGGGCCCAGUGCAACAUGAAAACAUAGGGCCCCUUGUUCAAAAACUGAGAACUUCAAGAUGGCAACAGCAGAUUGUAAAACCAAGUGCAGGGCCCUUCUGAGUGUGGGGCAUGGGGCCCCGUGGGACUGUACAGGCCACAUGUCCGUGAAGCUGGCCCUGGAGGUGACCUUUGAAGAAGCAGUUUCAGAAGCGUGAUGGGGGCCAGAAUCCGAUAUUGGAUGAUAUCAUCUCUGGAGAUAAUUCACCACUGACUCAUUCUUGUGACGUCAACAGGGGCAUUUCUCAGACUCACACUUGUCCAAGAAAUCAGAUAAGACACAUUUUCUACACUUGGGCAGGAGAAGCAAGAAUUUUGUCUGUGGAUUGCUUGUUAGUUGCUUGUUAGGCACUCUGCCACUGAAUGCUUGGGUGUCCGUUUUGGGAUUGUGGCUGAAUGUGGAACAGCAGACAUUUGGAAUCCUACCUCACACUGUUCUUCUCUCACACUGGCCAGGAGUUUAGCUAAAUAAGGCACAAGAGUUGAGCAUGGCUGUUGAUAGAGCGAUCUUCUCAGACUAGGAAAGCUUCCAAGGAAGAGCAGGCCUGGCGUGCCCAGCACAGCAGCUGCGGGAGAAGCGGGCAGUGUGUAGAUAGGAGAGUCCAACUGGAGCAUUCAUGUGGUUAGUCGAGGGUGGCUAAGUGCAGUGCUCAGCGGAGAAGGAACUGAGAGGGAGGGGGAAGCACCCAAGACGAUGCACAUUGUAGGCCGGGGGUUGACAAAGUUGGGGCAGAAAUUCUUCUCUGCCACACAUUCAUCCGUUCAGUGAGGAUUUCCUGUGUGCCUCAUGUUCCAAGAACUGUGCUCAUGGAAGGGGACACAGACCCUGCUCUAAAGGUGCUGGGACUUCAGCAGUGGUUAACCCAGCCUGCACAUCAGAACCACUUGGAGGUCUCUUACAAAUUAGUUGUGCUUGGGCUUCGCCAGGACCAAUUAAAUUCAGAUUUCUGUGGCUAGGGUCUAGGCACUCAAAAACUCCCGGGGCAUUUCUGGGGUGCCUAGGUGGUUCCGUUGGUUAAGCAUCUAACUCUUUUUAAAAAUUUUUUAAUGUUUAUUUAUUUUUGAAAGAGAGAGAGAGAGG